rnacentral:rRNA from 1 species
UGCCAGCAGCCGCGGUAAUACGAAGGGUGCUAGCGUUGUUCGGAAUUACUGGGCGUAAAGAGCAUGCAGGCGGACGUGUAAGUCAGAUGUGAAAUCUCAGGGCUCAACCCCGAAACUGCGUCUGAAACUACAUGUCUAGAAUCUUGGAGAGGGAAGGGGAAUUUCUCAUGUAGGGGUAAAAUCCGUAGAGAUGAGAAGGAACACCAGAGGCGAAGGCGCCUUCCUGGACAAGUAUUGACGCUGAGGCGCGAAAGCGUGGGGAGCAAACAGGAUUAGAUA